AGAGUAGUUUAUAUUUUUCGUGCUAUUUCUAAAAAUAAAAGAAAAAACUCCAAAAUAAAAUAGCCCUAGCAAAGGGCGCCGGAGCCGGAGAGAGAGAGAGAGAGAGAGAGAGAGAGAGAGAGAGAGAUGACGAGGGGAAAGCAGAAAAUCGAAGCGCAGAGAAGAAACGAGGAGAAGAAUCAGAAAUCGAAAGGGUCUCAGUUUGAGGCUCGUGCGGUCGCCCUCAAAGUCAGUUGUCCCAUCUGUAAGGCACAGCUAGCUAAUCAAAAUCAGCUUGUUGAUCACUAUGCCUCCAAGCAUCCAAGAGAGAAUCCUCCUGCUAGCAGUUCACAAUGACCUUUCAGUUCACUGGUAAAGCUGCUUCCAUGUGUUUCUCUGUGUGUCAUAAUGUAUAAUGAAAGGUCAUAUAUCUGUACCUAGAUCACCAGAGAAUCUCUUCCCGAAGAAUAGAUUCUUGCUUUGACUCCUUUCAAGGGAUUGUGAUGGCAUGGCCUUCGUAGAGUACUUGUUCAUGCAAAUUCUGUCUGCUUUUGAAUCCCGGACUUCUUUGAGGAUUUACCAAGUGAAGGAAGUUUAAAUGAAAACGAAAGAAAUAAAUUUAGCUCCUUCACGUCA